CUGCAACGGCUUCCUGGAGCAGAUAAUAUUUUACUGGAGCA
rnacentral:sRNA from 1 species